rnacentral:rRNA from 1 species
AAAUGUGAGUCCACGACGACGGACGUCACGACAAGUGGUGGUUGAAACUCAACUCUCGUAAUUUCGCGGCUCCAACACGUAGCAUGUUUGGGUUCCCUGACCCUUAUCGCGCUUAGGCGCACCGACCGCGACCCCAGGUCAGGCGGGACUACCCGCUGAGUUUAACCAUAUCAAUAAACGGAGGAAAAGAAACUUACAAGGAUUCCCCUAGUAACAGCGAGCGAACCGGGUUGUUUGGGAAUGCAGCCCAAAUCGGGCGGUGAAUUUCGUCCAAGGCUAAAUACGGGCGAGAGAUCGAUAGCGAACAAGUACCGCGAGGGAAAGAUGAAAAGGACUUUGAAAAGAGAGUCAAAGAGUGCUUGAAAUUAUCCGGAGGAAAGCGGAUGGGGGCCGGUGAUACGCCCCGGUCGGAUGUGGAACGGUGUUGAGCCGAUCCGCCGAUCGACUCGGGGCGUGGACCAGCGUGGAUUGGUGGGGCAUCCAAAGCCCAGGCCAUUGAUAUGCCCGUGGAACGCCGUCUCCUCGAUUGUUGUAGGCAGCGCGCGCCUUUGUCGUGCUUCGGCAUCUGCGCGCUCCGGACGCUGGCCUGUGGGCUCCCCAUUCGACCCGUCUUGAAACACAGACCAAGGAGUCUGACAUGUCUGCGAGUCAACGGGCGAGUAAACCCGUAAGGCGUAAGGAAGCUAAUUGGUGGGAUCCCCCUAAGGGGUGCAUCGCCGACCGACCUUGAUCUUCUGUGAAGGGUUUGAGUGUGAGCAUACCUGUCGGGACACGAAAGAUGGUGAACUAUGCCUGAGCGGGGCGAAGCCAUAGGAACUGGUGGAGGCCCGCAGCGAUACUGACGUGCAAAUCGUUCGUCUGACUUGGGUAUAGGGGAGAAAGUCUAAUCGAACCAUCUAGUAGCUGGUUCCCUCUGAAGUUUCCCUCAGGAUAGCUAGCGCUCGCGUGCGAGUUCUAUCGGGUAAAGCCAAUGAUUAGCGGCAUCGGGGGCGCACACCCUCGACCUAUUCUCAAACUUUAAAUAGGUAGGACGACACGACUGCUUUGUUGAGCCGCGCCACGGAAUCAAGAGCUCCAAGUGGGCCAUUUUUUGUAAACAGAACUGGCGAUGCUGGAUGAAUAGAAAGCCGGGUUAAGGUGCCAAACUGCCCGCAAACCUAGAUCCCACAAAGGGUGUUGGUCGAUUAAGACAGCAGGACGGUGGUCAUGGAAGUCGAAAUCCGCUAAGGAGUGUGUAACAACUCACCUGCCGAAUCAACUAGCCCAGAAAAUGGAUGGCGCUUAAGCGCGCGACCUACACCCGGUCGACGGGGCAAGUGCCAGGCUCCGAUGAGUAGGAGGGCACGCCGGCCACUGCAAAACCUUGGGGUGAGCCUGGGCGGAGCGGUCGUCGGUGCAGAUCUUGGUGGUAGUAGUAAAUAUUCAAAUGAGAACUUUGAAGGCCGAAGAGGGGAAAGGUUCCAUGUGAACGACACUUGCACAUGGGUUAGUCGAUCCUAAGGGUCGGGGGAACCCCGACAGAUAGCGCGUUUUGCGCGUACUCCGAAAAGGAAUCGGGUUAAAAUUCCUGGAACCGGACAUGGCGGUUGACGACAACGUUAGGAAGUCCGGAGACGUCGGCGGGGGCCUCGAGAAGAGUUCAUCUUUUCUGUUUAACAGCCUGCCCACCCUAGAAACGACUCAGUCGGAGGUAGGGUCCAGUAGAGCACCGCACAUCGCGUGGUGUUCGGUGCGCCCCCGGCGGCCCUUGAAAAUUCAGAGGACCGAGUGCCGUCCACACCCGGUGGUACUCAUAACCGCAUCAGGUCUCCAAGGUGAACAACCUCUGGUCGAUGGAACAAUGUAGGCAAGGGAAGUUGGCAAAAUGGAUCCGUAACUUCGGGAUAAGGAUUGACUCUGAGGGCUGGUGAUCGCUGCCAACUCCGCACCACUAAAAAGUAGCGAGAGGGUCGCAAUAGCUUUUACCCGAUUUGUGGGUCGGGAUCGAAUCCACAGAGAGCUAGGAUUGGAAUCGAGUAUCUAUUUAGCUUAGGAUUCCGUAUGUGCUCUUAAUUGGUCUUCUAUUCAUUUUUGAUUUUUCUUUAUAUUCUACUAUGAUCAAACUACAAAUUAUAAUUGCAACUAAAUUAGACUAAGAGUAAAUUGCUACAAAUUGUAUCUAAUGGUUUAAAAGGCACUAGGGUAGUGACCUUCACCUAGGUGGCUAAUUGACGGGUAAUUGCAUCUAAGGCAUGAUUGACAUGAUUGGGGAAAUAUGUUAUAACUGUUGCUCGAUACUACCCACUCUACACCUCUCGGUAGAAAGAGUGGUUUUGCCCAAUUGACACUCUCAAGACCAAUUAGGUAUGCAUAUUUGCCCAAGCAACUAGGGUUCAAGUCGGGUAAUUACUCUCUCGAGGUUUAACCCUUUNCCAUCACAAUCAUCAUCAAAUUGCUCAAAAUUCCCUUGAUUUUGUUGCCUUCUUUGCCUUUUCUUGUUGGUAAGCAAAUUAACACUUUCCAUAGCAUUCACUUGGCGAGGGUUUUGAACUUGUUGCAGUUGUGCCUUAGCCAAUUGAUUCAUAGUAGUUGUCAACUCCGCUGUAGUCUGCCCAUGGUCGUGUAACUCCUUAUGCAAAUGAAUAACUGUAGGAUCACCUUGGGGAACAUUGGCUCUACUUUGCCAUGCGGAAGACGUAUCCGCCAUCUCGUCAAGAAUCUCGCAAGCUUCAUCAUAAGACAACUUCAUGAUAUUACCCCCGGCCAAUAGAUUGACUAUGCACUUAUUUGUAGUAUUGAUGCCCCGAUAGAAGGUUUGUUGAAUCAUCGCCCCGGUCAUAUCGUUGUUUGGGCAUUCUUUCACCAUUGUUCUAAACCGCUCCCAAAUCUCAUGUAAGGGUUCCGUGGGUUCUUGCUUGAAAGCCAAUAUCUCAUCUCGAAGUGCCGCCAUGUGCCCGGGUGAGAAAUUUUUUGCAAUAAACUUAUCCGCCAACUCAUCCCAAAUUGUGAUGGAAUGGUUGGGAGUCUCUCUAGCCAAUCCAAUGCCUUUCCCCGAAGUGAGAACGGGAAAAGUCUCAACCUAAGAGCAUCUUCGGAUACAUUCGUCUGCUUGCUACCCCAACAUGUAUCCAUGAACCCUUUGAGAUGUUUGU